CCCUUCUGUGCGUCUUUCUCCCCCACAGGCUCUUUUGUAUAUCUCUUUCCCCCCACAGUCCCUCUGUAUGUCUUUCUCCCACACAGCCCCUAUGUGUGACUCUUUCUACCCAGCUCCUCGCUGUGUUUUAUUCUCCCCUAGUCCAUUUGUGUGUCUCUCUCCCAAACCCUUUGUGUGUCUCUUUUUUCCCGCCCAAGUCCUUUUGUGUCUGUUUUCCCACCAAGCCUGUCUGUGUAUC